AGGCUUGAUGUCCCUAUGAAUCACUGGAGAUCUUGUUAAGAUGCAGAUUCUGGUUCAUGGCCUAGGAUUCUGCAUUUGUAACAAGCUCCCAGGUGAUGCCAAUGCUGCCAUCCACAG
rnacentral:pre_miRNA from 12 species